CCCUUAGAUGUUCUGGGCCGCACGCGUGCUACACUGAGUGGAUCAGCGGGUCAGGUUGCGCGAAAGUGUUUCCUAAUCUUGAGAUCCGCUCGUGAUGGGGAUUGACGGUUGCAAUUUUCCGUCAUGAACGAGGAAUACCUUGUAAGCGCGGGUCAUCAUCCCGCGCUGAAUACGUCCCUGCCCUUUGUACACACCGCCCGUCGCUCCUACCGAUUGAGUGGUCCGGUGAGGCUUUGGGAUCUGAGCAAAAAGAGCGUUUCGCUCGUUUGGCUCGGAAAACUCAGUCGAACCUUAUCAUUUAGAGGAAGGAGAAGUCGUAACA
rnacentral:rRNA from 1 species